UUCCGUCUUGCCCGCAUUAGCGCGUUAUUUUUUUCCCUCACGUUUUCCUGUGGUGACAUUUUUAGGUCACCCCUCGCUCACUUUCAUCAUCCAAACCCUGGGAUGUUGCUCGCACUGCAUCUGCGGCGUGUAUCUGUGCGAAGGUGAAGCCGGUGGGAGUGGGAUGCAGGAGGAAGGCCCUCUGGGGAACAUCAGGGAAACGACGAUCUCCCGGCAUUCCCGCACGCUCCUGCUUGGCUCUCCCUUUUGAAGACGGGAAUGCCGGCGAUAGAGGAGACAGCUGUGACAGACACCUAUAGCACAGUGCAGCACCUAUACAUGAAAGAAGGAACGACUCCCCAAUCAGGAGCACCAUGGAUGUGAGCGAGCGAGUUUUAAUCCCACUUCAGAGAGAGAGAGAGAGAGAGAGAGAGGAAAGGGGGAGUUCCACAUUUCUGCAGGAUCAAAAGCUUUCAGGGGAUUUUGGAGCUGGUAUCUGUGUUUGUGUGUGUGUGCGUGUGUGUGAGCGUGUGCGCACGUGUGUUUGUAUGACGGGGGGAGGUCCAGGGGGCUUUGACACAGAUGUGAAUAUAGAAAAACAAAAACAGCACACACACCCCUCCCGCAUGAACACAGCACAUUUUCCAAUAAUCAUAAUCAUUGACAGAUAGAAACACACGCGUUUUCUCGUAAGAAGUAGCCCUUCCUCCACUGUCAGCCCCUCCACAUGCUGUACUCACACCAUGUCCUCACACCCUCAAGCGCACACACACAGAUAAACACCAUGUAUGGAUUCACACUCAUAACGUGAAACUGAAAUGUUAAAUUCACAGCAGGAUUAGCUCUUUAAUCCCACUUGAAACAAACAAACUUGACUAUACUCACCACAAACACCACAUCACUCCACUCAGAAGGUUCUGUAAGGAACCCCAGGGUUCUAUCCUCCACGUCAGAGAAUGUCUAAUCAAGAAUGGGUACACGGAAGGUUACACCCAAACAUCUGUCUUUCGUUAGCGCGGACAUGUUCACAUGAGAAAUGGGCAUGAAUUAAAUAAUCUUGUGUUAGUUAGGUGUCAGUUAAAGCUAACAGUUAGCUCCCAAAGUAGUUACAUUUGCCAGCAUUGUGCUAACUCCCAGCUUCAAAUUGAACAUAAACUAGUCUAAAUAAAUUAAGUGUGUCAUCGAGCAAUGUUUUGAUGUGAAAAAAGUGUAAAUAAAUGUAGAAAAACUUU